AGUUAUGUUCUUAAAACCUAAAGAAUUUGGCGGUGUUUUAUUCUAUUCAGAGGAACUUGUCCCGUUAUCGAUAGCCCUCGUUUUAUCUUGCUUGAUUUUGUCUAGGGUUAUUUCAGUAUGUAUACCGCCGUUAUAGGCUUAUUUUUUAAGAAUUUAAUUUGCUAAUAUUUUUAUUAAAAUUUAUUUCAGGUCAAGGUGCAGCUUAUAUUCAAGUGGAGGUGAGUUACAAUAUUUUUGAAUAAAUGGAUUUUGUGUUUAAAACUUUUAUGAAGGUGGAUUUGAUGGUAAUUUUAUUAAUAGUGUUAAUUUGAUUUUGGCCCUAAAACAAGUACACAUCGCCCGUCGCU
rnacentral:rRNA from 1 species